UACGUAGGGUGCGAGCGUUAAUCGGAAUUACUGGGCGUAAAGCGUGCGCAGGCGGUUCGUUGUGUCGGUGGUGAAAGUCCCCGGGCUUAACCUGGGAAUGGCCAUGGAAACUGGCGAACUGGAGUGCGGCAGAGGGGGGUGGAAUUCCGCGUGUAGCAGUGAAAUGCGUAGAGAUGCGGAGGAACACCGAUGGCGAAGGCGGCAUCCUGGACCGAUACUGACGCUGAGGAGCGAAAGCGUGGGGAGCAAACAGG
rnacentral:rRNA from 1 species